AUUGAACGCUGGCGGCAGGCCUAACACAUGCAAGUCGAACGAGUGGCGGACGGGUGAGUAAUGUCUGGGAAACUGCCUGAUGGAGGGGGAUAACUACUGGAAACGGUAGCUAAUACCGCAUACCAUCGGAUGUGCCCAGAUGGGAUUAGCCAGUGGGGGGGGUAAAGGCUCACCUAGGCGACGAGCCCUAGUUGGUCUGAGAGGAUGACCGGCCACACUGGAACGGGGACACGGUCCAGACUCCUACGGGGGGCAGCAGUGGGGAAUAUUGCACAAUGGGCGAAAGCCUGAUGCAGCCAUGCCGCGUGUAUGAAGAAGGCCUUCGGGUUGUAAAGUACUUUCAGCAGGGAGGCGUUACCCGCAGAAGAAGCACCGGCUAACUCCGUGCCAGCAGCCGCGGUAAUAC
rnacentral:rRNA from 1 species